UACGAAGGGUGCAAGCGUUACUCGGAAUUGCUGGGCGUAAAGGGUGCGUAGGUGGUUUGUUAAGUCUGCUGUGAAAUCCCCGGGCUCAACCUGGGAAUGGCAGUGGAUACUGGCAAGCUAGAGUGCGGUAGAGGGUAGUGGAAUUCCCGGUGUAGCAGUGAAAUGCGUAGAGAUCGGGAGGAACACCAGUGGCGAAGGCGGCUACCUGGACCAGCACUGACACUGAAGCACGAAAGCGUGGGGAGCAAACAGG
rnacentral:rRNA from 1 species